UACGAAGGGGGCUAGCGUUGCUCGGAAUCACUGGGCGUAAAGGGCGCGUAGGCGGCGCGGAAAGUCGUCGGUGAAAGCUCGGGGCUCAACCCUGAGUCUGCCGGUGAUACUCCCGCGCUCGAGCUCACUAGAGGCAGAUGGAAUUCCGGGUGUAGCGGUGGAAUGCGUAGAGAUCCGGAAGAACACCGGUGGCGAAGGCGGUCUGCUGGGGUGAGGCUGACGCUGAUGCGCGACAGCGUGGGGAGCAAACAGG
rnacentral:rRNA from 1 species